CCAUAUCACACUGAAACAUUGGUUCACAUCCAAUCACCAAAGUUAAGCAACAUCAAGCCUGGUCAGUAAUCAGAUAUGUGACCACUUGGGAAUACCAGGUGUUGUAU